rnacentral:rRNA from 1 species
GUCGAACGCUGGCGGCGUGCUUAACACAUGCAAGUCGAACGAAGUGGCGAACGGGUGAGUAACGCGUAAUCAACCUGCCCUUCAGAGGGGGACAACAGUUGGAAACGACUGCUAAUACCGCAUACUGAAGGAGGGGAUUGCGUCUGAUUAGCUAGUUGGAGGGGUAACGGCCCACCAAGGCGAUGAUCAGUAGCCGGUCUGGGAGGAUGGACGGCCAACUGGGGAAUGGGACACGGCCCAGACUCCUACGGGAGGCAGCAGUUGGGAAUCUUCCGCAAUGGACGAAAGUCUGACGGAGCAACGCCGCGUGAGUGAUGACGGCCUUCGGGGUGUAAAGCUCUGUUAAGCGGGACGCGGUACCGGAAUAGAAAGCCACGGCUAACUACGUGCCAGCAGCCGCGGUAAUAC